GUCUUGGUGUGCAAUAUUUAUAGAAAUAAUUGGAAUUAAAACUAAAACAGAAUCUUUUGCUUUUUUGAUAUGAGUGUUUCUCUUUAUAAACUUCUCUUGUUUGGUGACAUCUCAAUGGCAGGAGCUCCAGUGUGGCGGAAACCAGCGACAGUGGCUCAUACUGCAGAAGGUGGUGCCCCCACCCAUGUCUCACUGCUGUGCAGCAAGCUAUGAAACAGGCCUAUUGAAUCACACAACACCAGCAGUG